GACGUAGGGCGCGAGCGUUGUCCGGAUUUAUUAGGCGUAAAGAGCUCGUAGGCGGUCUGUCGCGUCUGGUGUGAAAAAUCCAGGGCUUAACCCUGGACCUGCAUCGGGUACGGGCAGACUAGAGUGCGGUAGGGGAGAUCGGAAUUCCUGGUGUAGCGGUGAAAUGCGCAGAUAUCAGGAGGAACACCGGUGGCGAAGGCGGAUCUCUGGGCCGUAACUGACGCUGAGGAGCGAAAGCAUGGGGAGCGAACAGGA
rnacentral:rRNA from 1 species